rnacentral:tRNA from 1 species
GCGGUUGUGGCGGAAUGGUAGACGCGCAGCGUUGAGGUCGCUGUGGGGUAAUACCCGUGGAAGUUCGAGUCUUCUCAACCGCACCA